ACCACUCGUUGUGUACCUUUAGCGCAUUGGACUUCUAAUCCAAAGGUCGUGGGUUCGAAUCCCACCUGGGA